GACUAUAGAAGCCAAAUUCCAAUGUGAAAAUGCACCUUUCAAUUGCACAGACUAGGUCAUAAUGGAGGUGACAGUCAUAAAAGAUUUUCUAGCUCUCAGCAGAGCUGUAAACCGGGACCCCUCAUCCAGGCAGACAGCACAGAAUCUGAAAAUCUGCCUAUCAAAAGCAUCAUUCAAGCCACAAGGCUCUUCUGUUCCUGGUAAAAGGCAGGCAGGAAAAGAGGAGACAAAGAAAAACGUUUAUGAUCUGAAGAUAUGGCCCAAAUCACCAACCACGCAAUUUGUUUUCUGAGGAAAGGAAAGACCUGGUGCAACUUUAUACAAAGAGCCCAUCAUUCAUCCUUGAUCAGGGAUAUUUUCUCCUCCCAGCCACUAAUCUGCUCUCUGCUCUUACAUUUGUACAUUUUUAGAACGAUAUUAAACAUCUGAAGAGUCA